UACGUAGGAGGCAAGCGUUGUCCGGAAUUACUGGGUGUAAAGCGCGUGUAGGUGGUGGGCCAAGUCUGUGGUGAAAUCGCCCGGCUCAACUGGGCGAGGUCCGUGGAAACUGGUCGACUGGAGGACGGUAGAGGCGAGUGGAAUUCCCGGUGUAGUGGUGAAAUGCGUAGAGAUCGGGAGGAACACCAGUGGCGAAGGCGGCUCGCUGGGCCGGUCCUGACACUGAGACGCGAAGGCGUGGGGAGCGAGCGGG
rnacentral:rRNA from 1 species